rnacentral:rRNA from 1 species
ACCGACUAAUGUUGAAAAAUUAGCGGAUGACUUGUGGCUGGGGGUGAAAGGCCAAUCAAACCGGGAGAUAGCUGGUUCUCCCCGAAAGCUAUUUAGGUAGCGCCUCGUGAAUUCAUCUCCGGGGGUAGAGCACUGUUUCGGCAAGGGGGUCAUCCCGACUUACCAACCCGAUGCAAACUGCGAAUACCGGAGAAUGUUAUCACGGGAGACACACGGCGGGUGCUAACGUCCGUCGUGAAGAGGGAAACAACCCAGACCGCCAGCUAAGGUCCCAAAGUCAUGGUUAAGUGGGAAACGAUGUGGGAAGGCCCAGACAGCCAGGAUGUUGGCUUAGAAGCAGCCAUCAUUUAAAGAAAGCGUAAUAGCUCACUGGUCGAGUCGGCCUGCGCGGAAGAUGUAACGGGGCUAAACCAUGCACCGAAGCUGCGGCAGCGACGCUGAUGCGUUGUUGGGUAGGGGAGCGUUCUGUAAGCCUGCGAAGGUGUGCUGUGAGGCAUGCUGGAGGUAUCAGAAGUGCGAAUGCUGACAUAAGUAACGAUAAAGCGGGUGAAAAGCCCGCUCGCCGGAAGACCAAGGGUUCCUGUCCAACGUUAAUCGGGGCAGGGUGAGUCGACCCCUAAGGCGAGGCCGAAAGGCGUAGUCGAUGGGAAACAGGUUAAUAUUCCUGUACUUGGUGUUACUGCGAAGGGGGGACGGAGAAGGCUAUGUUGGCCGGGCGACGGUUGUCCCGGUUUAAGCGUGUAGGCUGGUUUUCCAGGCAAAUCCGGAAAAUCAAGGCUGAGGCGUGAUGACGAGGCACUACGGUGCUGAAGCAACAAAUGCCCUGCUUCCAGGAAAAGCCUCUAAGCAUCAGGUAACAUCAAAUCGUACCCCAAACCGACACAGGUGGUCAGGUAGAGAAUACCAAGGCGCUUGAGAGAACUCGGGUGAAGGAACUAGGCAAAAUGGUGCCGUAACUUCGGGAGAAGGCACGCUGAUAUGUAGGUGAAGCGACUUGCUCGUGGAGCUGAAAUCAGUCGAAGAUACCAGCUGGCUGCAACUGUUUAUUAAAAACACAGCACUGUGCAAACACGAAAGUGGACGUAUACGGUGUGACGCCUGCCCGGUGCCGGAAGGUUAAUUGAUGGGGUUAGCGCAAGCGAAGCUCUUGAUCGAAGCCCCGGUAAACGGCGGCCGUAACUAUAACGGUCCUAAGGUAGCGAAAUUCCUUGUCGGGUAAGUUCCGACCUGCACGAAUGGCGUAAUGAUGGCCAGGCUGUCUCCACCCGAGACUCAGUGAAAUUGAACUCGCUGUGAAGAUGCAGUGUACCCGCGGCAAGACGGAAAGACCCCGUGAACCUUUACUAUAGCUUGACACUGAACAUUGAGCCUUGAUGUGUAGGAUAGGUGGGAGGCUUUGAAGUGUGGACGCCAGUCUGCAUGGAGCCGACCUUGAAAUACCACCCUUUAAUGUUUGAUGUUCUAACGUUGACCCGUAAUCCGGGUUGCGGACAGUGUCUGGUGGGUAGUUUGACUGGGGCGGUCUCCUCCUAAAGAGUAACGGAGGAGCACGAAGGUUGGCUAAUCCUGGUCGGACAUCAGGAGGUUAGUGCAAUGGCAUAAGCCAGCUUGACUGCGAGCGUGACGGCGCGAGCAGGUGCGAAAGCAGGUCAUAGUGAUCCGGUGGUUCUGAAUGGAAGGGCCAUCGCUCAACGGAUAAAAGGUACUCCGGGGAUAACAGGCUGAUACCGCCCAAGAGUUCAUAUCGACGGCGGUGUUUGGCACCUCGAUGUCGGCUCAUCACAUCCUGGGGCUGAAGUAGGUCCCAAGGGUAUGGCUGUUCGCCAUUUAAAGUGGUACGCGAGCUGGGUUUAGAACGUCGUGAGACAGUUCGGUCCCUA